rnacentral:rRNA from 1 species
UGGGGAAUAUUGGACAAUGGGCGCAAGCCUGAUCCAGCAAUGCCGCGUGAGUGAAGAAGGCCUUCGGGUUGUAAAGCUCUUUUGUCAGGGAAGAAACGGUAGUAGCGAAUAACUAUUACUAAUGACGGUACCUGAAGAAUAAGCACCGGCUAACUACGUGCCAGCAGCCGCGGUAAUACGUAGGGUGCAAGCGUUAAUCGGAAUUACUGGGCGUAAAGCGUGCGCAGGCGGUUGUGUAAGUCAGAUGUGAAAUCCCCGGGCUCAACCUGGGAAUUGCAUUUGAGACUGCACGGCUAGAGUGUGUCAGAGGGGGGUAGAAUUCCACGUGUAGCAGUGAAAUGCGUAGAUAUGUGGAGGAAUACCGAUGGCGAAGGCAGCCCCCUGGGAUAACACUGACGCUCAUGCACGAAAGCGUGGGGAGCAAACAGGAUUAGAUACCCAGGUAGUCCCUGAGCGGGCUGGCAAGGCGCAU